GCGCUGCCAGAUCGCGUCCGCCAUAUUGGCUGCCGCAGCUGCCGCCGCCGCCACUGCCACCGCCGCCUCUGCCUCUUCCUCCUCCUCUACAGCCGCCGCCGCCCUUAGCUGGUUCCUGUGUCCCGAGCGGUGGGGAGGAGAAGCGGGAACCGGUCGGAGGAGGAGGAAGGGGGUGGAGUGUGAGGAGAAGAAGGAGGGAGCAGAGGGUGGAGAAGAGAGGCCGAGCGCGGGGCGGAGAAGAGCUGGAGCCGCGGCGGCUCGGCCCCUCCCCCGCCCGCCCCGGCUGCGCUUCUGUUCCCCAGCCCGGAGCUCAGCUCGCCCCAGCAGCCAUGCCGAGGCCUCGCCGUCCCUGAGGAACCCGCCCCCCUCUUCUUUCUCACUUCGAUUCCCACCCCGGCCCACAAGCGCCUUCGACCACUCCCGGGUUCCCCUGGGCGGAUCCUGGUCCCGUCCCCCCUUCUCUAGGCCGCCGCUGCCUCCUCUUCCGCCACCGGGCGCUGGGGCCUUCGCACCGACAACAUGGAGGCCGUGAAAACCUUCAACAGCGAACUAUAUUCCCUGAAUGACUACAAGCCACCUAUUUCCAAGGCUAAAAUGACACAGAUUACUAAAGCAGCCAUCAAGGCUAUUAAGUUCUAUAAACAUGUGGUACAGAGUGUUGAGAAAUUUAUUCAGAAGUGUAAACCAGAAUAUAAAGUACCUGGACUUUAUGUUAUUGACUCCAUUGUACGACAAUCUCGACAUCAGUUUGGUCAAGAAAAGGAUGUGUUUGCACCCAGAUUUAGUAAUAACAUCAUUAGCACUUUUCAGAAUUUAUAUCGUUGCCCUGGUGAUGACAAGAGUAAAAUAGUCAGGGUUCUAAAUUUAUGGCAGAAGAAUAAUGUGUUUAAGAGUGAAAUUAUUCAGCCUCUUCUUGAUAUGGCAGCAGGAAUUCCACCACCAGUUGUCACACCUAUUUUGCCAAGUACAGCAGCAUCUAUGAGCAACAAUACCCCAGGAACUCCUGUGACACCUGUUACUCCAGCAAAUGUGGUUCAAGGUUUGCCUGACCCUUGGGUAUCUCAGAUAGCAAAUACAGAUACACUGGCUGCUGUGGCACAGAUUUUACAAAGUCCUCAAGGCCAACAGCUUCAGCAAUUAAUACAAACACUACAGAUUCAACAGCAGAAACCACAGCCUUCACUACUUCAAGCACUGGAUGCUGGUCUUGUUGUUCAGUUGCAGGCCUUGACAGCACAACUUACAGCGGCAGCUGCAGCAGCCAAUACUCUCAAUCCACUAGACCAAGCAGUCUCCUUUAAUAAGAAGUUGAUGGAUAGAUUUGAUUUUGGAGAAGAUUCUGAACGCAGUGAAGAAGCUAAAAAGGAAACUCCAUCUUCCCAGCUCUCUCAUGUUUCAGAGUCUGUAAACAACUCAAUUUUUCAUCAGUUAGCAGAACAACUACAACAACAAAAUCUUGAGCAUCUUCGACAGCAGCUCCUAGAACAACAGCAACCUCAGAAGGUGACCACUCAGGAGAAUCCAGAGAGUACAUUUGGUUCCGAGCACUCUGCGUCACCAUCACAGGGAAGUAGUCAACAGCAGUUCCUUGAACCAGAGACAAACUUGGAUGAUUCUAUAGAUAUUCAACAACAGGAUAUGGAGCUAGAUGAAGGGCAAGAUGUUGCUGAAGAAGAGGUCUUUGAGCAAGAAGAAAAGAAAGUGCCUAUUCGCUCUAGGUCAAGAACACAUUCAAGAUCUCGUUCAAGGUCACCAAGAAAACGAAGGUCCAGGUCCCGGUCUGGUUCUCGAAAACGCAAACACAGGAAGAGAUCACGCUCACGUUCUAGAGAAAGAAAAAGAAAAUCUUCCCGUUCAUAUUCUAGUGAAAGAAGAGCUAGAGAAAGAGAGAAAGAAAGACAGAAAAAAGGAUUGCCUCCAAUCCGAUCUAAAACAUUAAGUGUCUGUAGUACUACUCUCUGGGUUGGUCAAGUAGAUAAGAAAGCUACACAGCAAGAUUUAACCAAUCUUUUUGAAGAGUUUGGACAGAUUGAAUCCAUCAAUAUGAUUCCUCCAAGAGGCUGUGCUUAUGUCUGUAUGGUUCAUCGACAAGAUUCCUAUCGAGCACUUCAAAAACUUAGUUCUGGAUCUUAUAAAAUUGGGUCCAAAGUUAUAAAGAUCGCUUGGGCUUUAAACAAAGGUGUAAAAACAGAAUAUAAACAAUUCUGGGAUGUAGAUCUUGGAGUUACUUAUAUACCAUGGGAGAAAGUAAAGGUGGAUGACCUAGAUGGCUUUGCUGAAGGAGGCAUGAUUGAUCAGGAGACCGUAAAUAGUGAAUGGGAAACUGUGAAGAGUUCAGAGCCUGUCAAAGAGCCUGUCCAAACUGUAGAAAGUCCAACAACAGUUGAAAAGACACCAGUAGUAACUACACAGGCUGAAGUUUAUCCUCCACCUGUUGCUAUGUUGCAGAUUCCAGUAGCACCUGCUGUACCUACAGUUAGUUUAGUUCCACCAACAUUUCCAGUGUCAAUGUCCGUUCCUCCUCCAGGAUUUAGUGCAAUUCCUCCACCUCCUUUCUUACGAGCAAGUUUCAACCCAUCACAACCACCUCCUGGUUUCAUGCCACCACCAGUUCCACCACCUGUUGUGCCACCCCCUACUAUUCCUCCAGUAGUGGCAACAUCUCUGGUACAGCCUCCUAUAUCCAUGACUCCAGAGACAAUGAAAGAUGUUGCUUUUAGUAACCUUGUUUUGCCAGUUGGCUCUGUAUCUAGUAGUCUUGCUACUUCAACCAUAUCAGCUGGAAGUGUCUUUAAUCCUCCAAGUAACCAACCAGAGUCAGAAGAAAAAUUGUCACACCUCACAGACCACCAGCUUUCUUCUAGCGAAAGUACCAGACAAGUGAUCCACAAUGAUGUCACAAGUAGCUCUGGAAUGCUAGGUGGACAGCCACCAAAUAUGUCAAGCAGUUCUGGAAUUCUGGGUGGACAGCCACCAAAUGUGUCCAGCAAUUCUGGAAUUCUGGGAGUACAGCCAUCUAAUGUUUCCAGUAGUUCUGGAAUUAUCGGAGCACAGCCACCAAAUAUUCCAAGUAGUUCUGGAAUUCUGGGACCACAACUACCUAAUGUGUCAGGUAGUUCUGGACUCUUGGGGGUACCACCCCCAAAUAUUCCUGGCAAUUCUGGACUCCUGGGAGUUCAACCACCAAAUGUUCCAAGUAAUUCUGGAAUGCUGGGACCACAGCCACCAACUGGGCCUCAAAACUUGCCCCCAUUAAAUAUUCCCCAGCGGAUGCCUGGAAUACCAAUAUUAGAUAUUCGUCCGGGACUUAUACCACAGUCUCCUGGGCCAAGAUUCCCUUUAAUGCAACCUGGACUUCCACCGCAAAGAGGAAUCCCUCCUCCAGCAAUCCUUGAUGCAUCCCUUCAUCCUCCACCUCGUGGUCCUUUUGCUCCAGGAGAUAUUUUCAGUCAGGCAGAGAGACCUUUUCCAGCUCCUUUAAGACAAAAUAUAGAUCAUCUUCCUAAUCCAGAAAAAAGGCUACCACUUGGGAAUGAUAGUAUUCAACAGGAAGGAGAUAGAGAUUAUCGUUUUCCUCCUAUGGAAAACAGAGAGACCAUUAGUAGACCUUCACCAGUUGAUGUUAGGGAUGUAGUAGGGCGACCUGUAGAUCCAAGAGAAGGUCCAGGGAGACCUCCAAUAGAUGGAAGGGAACACUUUGGAAGACCACAUAUAGAUAUAAGAGAAAAUCUUAUAAGACCAGGUUUAGAUAACCUUGGUAGAAGAGAUCACUUUGGUUUUAAUUCAGAUAAGCCUUGGGGGCAUAGAGAUUUUGAUGAAAGAGAACAUCGUGUUUUACCUCUCUAUGGUGGUCCCAAAGGCUUCCAUGAAGAUAGAGGUAGAUUUAGACAUGGAAAUUAUAGAUUUGAUCCUCGAAGUGGUCCCAUUUGGAACAGAGGAUUUGGACAGGAUGCUCACAGAGAUUUUGAUGACCGCAGAAGACCCUGGGAAAGACAAAGGGAUAGAGAUGACAGAGAUUUUGAUUUCUGCCGUGAAAUUAAUGGGAAUCGUUUUGGAAGAGACAGAAUUCAGAAUACCUGGGUCCCACAUCCACACCCACGAGUUUUUGAUUAUUUUGAAGGGCCCAGUCCUCAACGAAAAGCUGAUAAUGUACCCCAGGUAAAUGGUGAAAAUACAGAGACAGAUAAUCAACCACCACCUUUACAAGUACAGAAUGAUCCUGAACUUUAUGAAAAACUGACAUCUUCAAGUGAAUUAAACAAAGAGAAGAAUGACACAGAAGCUGAUAUAGAAAGUGAACCAGUGGUAGAAAGCACAGAAACUGAGGGGACAUAAUCAUCACUCAGUAGGGAUAUGAUUUUUCCCCUGAGGACUGCUUUAGCUGCAUCCCAGAAAUUCUGGUCCGUGUGAAUCAGGAGAUGAUGGAGCAGUCUAGCAGAAUAUGGAACCUUUCAUCUUCAGCUAACCAGUUUAAGUGGAGAAAGAUGACAGAAAUGGCGUCUUGAGGAAGACCCUAAGUGAUGAAAGCCUGGAGGAAAAUGACUUAGAAACAAAGAAAAACUGAAAAAGGCUAUUGAAAAACCAGCAGCCGUGGAGCUUAAGCUCAUAGGCAAAUACCGAAAUGUGAAAACAUGAAGAGAAUGAAAAGAAGAACUUUUUAAGACAUUCUACUGUUGAGUUGUUACUGGAAUUGUGCUUUUCCCCAAAGGAUGCUUCGGCCAAGACUGGGCACAAUGAGGAUGACUUACCUUUGCAGUCCUUCAACUGAAGUGCAAAAUUUAUGGACAACCUGAACACAGAUUACAAAGGAGUUUCUCCACCUUAGCACUCCUGCAUGGUCAAAGAACUGUAAUGUUUAAUAUUUAAGCUAUGUUUUUCCAUGUUUACACAGCCUGGCAGCCACUGCAAACAUUAUAAUUAUGUUCAGAGUCCAAAAGCCAUUUCGCAGUAAGUAUGUGUGAGAGACCUGAAAUGCCGUUUUCCAGCAGGAGCCCCUUUCAAGUUACGUAUAAUUAUUGAUGAUUAUACCCAUGCUGCUCAGGUGUCAUUUUCAUAGACUAUGCAACUUACUCUCAGGUGAUUUUCAAAACAAAACGUUGUUGCUGCUAUCCUAAUGAAUAGUAUUUCCAGAUUUUCCUCUUUGUGGUUCUCAUUUUUUUUCCAGUAGUGGAAAAAUUGCUAGUGUCUGAGGCCAGAUCUGAACUCAGAUCUUCCUGACUCUAGCUACUUAAGGUAUAAAUAUAUAAAAUUUUAAAAUCCAAUGGAAAUAUGUUAUAAAAGAAAGCACUCACUUGGAGUCAGGCAACGCAGAUUCAAGUCAUGACUUCCAAUCAAUUUGUGUGAUCUUAGAUAAGACACUAAAUCUCUCUGAGUCUCUCACACUAUAGGUAGGGAACAGAAGAAGUAGGGAGGGACAAUUAUGUUAACAGAGUGGAGAGAGUGUAAGGUUUGGAGUCAGACACUAGCUGUGUCAUUGGGCAAGCUACCUGAUUUCUGUGUGCCUCAGUUUCUUCAUCUCUAAAAUGGGAAUAACUACCUCAGAUGAUUGUUGUGAGACUCAAAUGAGUUCAUAUAUCUGAAGCCCUUUCCAAACCUUAAAGUAAUACAUAAAUGCUAGUUGUUGUUCAGUUGCUUUUCAGUUAGGAAUUGACUCUUUAUAACCCCAUUUGGGUUUGUUGGCAAGGAAAACUGGAAUGAUUUGCCAUUUCAUUCUCCAGUUCAUUUUAUGGAUGAGGAAACUGAGGCAAAUAGGGUUAAGUGAUUUGUCCAGAGUCACACAGAUGAGUCAGAGUCUUAGGCUGGAUUUGAACUCAGGUGUUUCUGGCUCCAAGCCAUCAGGCAUUUAUGCUCUACUUAAAGUAUAAAUAUAUAAAACUUAUAUUUAAAAACAUAUUUAAAAAUAUAAAACUCUAAUGGAAAGAAGUUAUAACAGAAAGAACACCAACUUGGAGUCAGGCAACUCAGGGUCAAGUCCUGUCUUCCAAUCAUCAAUUUGUGUGAUCUUAGAUAAGAUACUAAUUCUAUGAGUUUCAGUUUCUUCACUUUCAAAAGAGUAUAUAAAUAAUAUUUGCACUUCCCACAUCAUGGGGUUGCUGUGAUGAUCAAAUGAAAUAAACACUCUUGAAAUGU